GGGAUAAAGAGAAGCAGACAUGGAGCCCUGCAAACUUGGCCUAAACAUUGCUCUCGGUGUUCUAGCAUCAUAAUGUGACUUUUCUUUUUAACCACAGUUUGUUGUUAAUUUAUAAAGUUACACUAACUUCCACCUCCGAUACAGAGCUUCUAAAAGAAUCAAAGUAUAAAAUAUAUGUGGUUGUAAAAAAGUGCCUUGUAAAUUCUAAAGCACUAGAGAGUAAGUCAUAUUCUCUCUCUCUCUUUUUUUUUUAUGACUGCUAGAGGUCUUCGUUGGUACCGAGUUGCUAUUGCUCUGAAAUCUUUCAAUGGAGUAUGUUAAAACAUACAUUAGAAUAUAGAAAUAUAAAAACAUACAUUAGAAUAUAGAAAUACAGAAACAGAUUCCUUUGCUCAAUUUGGUUCACAUAUGAGAUUUCUGUUCUUUCAUUAAAAGCUCAUUUCCUACACAAAAUUAACAUAAUUACUUAUAUUUUUAUCCUACAAUGAUAUUCUGAAUUGAUUUUGCAAAAUACUUAAGACCUGUCUUCUACCUUGGUGAAUACAUCUCCAGGAUGAGGCCACCCAUUUUGGCUUCCACUAACCCGGAGGAACCUGGAGCAAGGAAACCAAAGGAAGUAUUCAGGAAGCUUCAGAUUUGACUGCUGGCAUUAUAGGCAAGAAUUACACACACAUGACUUACUGUUCACUAUUGGUGAGAACUCGUGUUCUCAUUUCGGGCAAUGUUUAGAAUGAAGCUCCAUUAAACAUGCUUGCUCCGAGGAAUAUCCUUAGAA
ensembl:lncRNA novel transcript